UACCAGCACCCCGAGUGGUCGGGACGAUUAUUGGGCCUAAAGCAUCCGUAGCCGGCCUUACAAGUCCCCCGUUAAAUCCAACUGCUUAACAGAUGGGCUGCGGAGGAUACUAUAAGACUAGGAGGCAGGAGAGGCAAGCGGUACUCAGUGGGUAGGGGUAAAAUCCGUUGAUCCAUUGAAGACCACCAGUGGCGAAGGCGGCUUGCCAGAAUGCGCUCGACGGUGAGGGAUGAAAGCUGGGGGGAGCAAACCGGAUUAGAAA
rnacentral:rRNA from 1 species